rnacentral:tRNA from 1 species
GGACCAUUAGCUCAGUCAGCUGAGCAUGGCGCUGACAACGCCAAGGUUGCGGGCUUGAUUCCCGUUCGGUCCC